AUUGAACGCUGGCGGCAGGCCUAACACAUGCAAGUCGAGCGGAGCGGCGGACGGGUGAGUAAUGCCUAGGAAUCUGCCUGGUAGUGGGGGAUAACGUCCGGAAACGGGCGCUAAUGCCACAUCCUUUCAGUUGAGCCUAGGUCGCAUUAGCUGGUUGGUCGGGUAAUGGCCUACCAAGGCGACGAUCCGUAACUGGUCUGAGAGGAUGAUCAGUCACACUGGAACUGAGACACGGCCGAGACUCCGACGGGAGGCAGCAGUGGGGAAUAUUGGACAAUGGACGAAAGCCUAACCGAGCUAUGCCGCGUGUGUGAAGAAGGUGUUCGGAUAUUAAAGUACUUUAAGUAGUGACGCGUUACCAAAAGAGUAAGCACCGGCUAACUUCGUGCCAGCAGCCGCGGUAAUUC
rnacentral:rRNA from 1 species